AGACAUGAAAAACCGAAAAGAUAGAAUGGGGAGAUUCAUCGUCAGUUUUUCCGGUGCGUGUGCGGCUCGCGAUGUCCGCGAGACAUCGCGGUCCUGUGACACGUGUCCGUAUGUUUUUUAUUGCUGGAAUUGUCGGCGUGCAUUUCUCCCCUAAUAGGACGUCGCGACCCGUUGGGUGUCGGUCUACGGCACGGAGUGGUAGCCUGUCACGUGUUGCGUUUCGCGGCGUUACGGGGCAAACCUCCUUUCGCCCGACCGGCUGCCCGGCGGUACUCGCAAGGUAUCUGGCCGCAAAAACAUAAACUGCGUCCGGCCCGUCCAAGCGCGGCAAGUGUUUCCCGGCUGUACGGAUCCAAUGCCGUCACCGGGCCUUCCCAGCUGUUGGUCGACGGUGUCCUGGGACUGGCUAACUGAUACCGGUCGGCGACGCUACUGCUUUGGGUACUUUCAGGACCCGUCUUGAAACACGGACCAAGGAGUCUAACAUGUGCGCGAGUCAUUGGGAGCUAGUAAACCUAAAGGCGAAAUGAAAAUGAAAAUCGGCCUCGCGCCCUUCGAGGGAGGAUGGGCCGCGUCACAAUGCGGUCCCCCACUCCCGGGGCGUCUCGUUUUCAU
rnacentral:rRNA from 1 species